UGGGGAAUAUUGGACAAUGGGCGCAAGCCUGAUCCAGCCAUGCCGCGUGAGUGAUGAAGGCCCUAGGGUUGUAAAGCUCUUUCACCGGUGAAGAUAAUGACGGUAACCGGAGAAGAAGCCCCGGCUAACUUCGUGCCAGCAGCCGCGGUAAUACGAAGGGGGCUAGCGUUGUUCGGAUUUACUGGGCGUAAAGCGCACGUAGGCGGACUAUUAAGUCAGGGGGGAAAUCCCGGGGCUCAACCCCGGAACUGCCUUUGAUACUGGUAGUCUUGAGUUCGAGAGAGGUGAGUGGAAUUCCGAGUGUAGAGGUGAAAUUCGUAGAUAUUCGGAGGAACACCAGUGGCGAAGGCGGCUCACUGGCUCGAUACUGACGCUGAGGUGCGAAAGCGUGGGGAGCAAACAGG
rnacentral:rRNA from 1 species